rnacentral:lncRNA from 1 species
UUUGAGUUUAAAAAGUACGUGUGAAGAUGAACGGUAGUGAUUGCCAAGACCAGCAGGGAUGAAUGAAUCUAUGGAUCACAUAAUUCUGAGAAGUCAGACAUAAGAGUAAAACUGUUUUAGAAAUAGUUUGAGUAUUGAUUAGAUAGAGAUAGAAUAUAUCAUUCAUAGAGUGAAGAUGUUGAUACCUUUUCAUAUAGCAAGAAGAGUGUGAUUCCCAUAAAUUCACCAUCCUUCUUGAUCUUACUCGGAUCCCAGAAGCGGAAGAGCCGGCCAACAUUGAACUGAGAAGACCAACCUAGGCGGAGCUUGGUCCCGAGAGGACGGUAGAA